CGGUCCGUCAUAUGGCAAUCUAACUGAGUUCGCUUGUUAGCUGCCUUGUGAAGGGCUUCC
rnacentral:pre_miRNA from 1 species